rnacentral:lncRNA from 1 species
AUAACCUCCACGGUAGGUGCAGCAGUGAAUUGGAAGUGAAGACACAAAUAGAACACCAACAACAACGGCAAAUAAAAACAACAGACACAUGUAAUAUAUCAGACAUUGUAACGCCUCAUGCCCAUGGAAACUUCAAACGGUUACAUAAACUUCUGCAGCGAAGCAAGUCUGGAGAGUUUGUAAAUGAACUACUUUCGAGAACAGCAAGGCUGUAUGAAAUGGAAAUAAAUAUGAAUGAUUUGUUGAAAGAUGAAAGCCACAAAUUGAUGAGCAGCGUGUGAUGCCUUGAAAGGCAAAUGUAUUGUCGAACUGAGGGGUCGGGCGCACGAUAGCAAGACACUACGUGAAUGAGCAGGAAGCAAACAUGAGAUUACACACAUACAUAUGCAUGUGCACCUGGGUCAAUGGUUCAAAUUGUAAACAUUUUUAUUUUAGAGAUCUAACGCACUCUAGACACACCUAAAACAUACUUUGUCAGGCAAUGGGCUCAUAUCGUCCAAAUUUACCUGAUGCAGCGGAAUAACUUUAUCUGUAAUUUAUUUUAGAGUAUAGAAUGUAUUCAUUGUGUAGAAUUCUAAACUCUAAAUAUAUGUGUACAUACAUUCAUAUAGUAUAAUGUAUAUGUAUUAUAGUAACUAUUGUAGUUAAACAAUGUAUUGGUCAUACAAACGCCCAGUUUCAUUGCUCAGCAGUUGCUACCGUUAAUUUGAACUGCAUAAAUAAGUGGUGCAUCAUCUGGCUUUAUGUAAGAACUCCGCACUCCCCUUGUUGAACCAUGGCCAUUAUAAUAAUACGCCACGAGCUCCAGUCAAAUCCUACACCAACUAGAACGCGAUGUACUUAUUCCAAACUGUGGCACGUGUGUGUGUAUGCUUGUAUUUCCACUUGCUGGUGUUUCUGCUUGGCCUGCUCCACCUUGAAGCAUGGCAAAAUGCCACUUCAUCCGCUGUUGGUUCAUGAUUUGUACGCACGCUUGCAUAGAAUAAAAACAAAAACAAAUAUAGCUGCAGGCAUGCAUCUCGGAUUAUGUUAAGGCAUUAAUUGAAGCCAGAACGGGCAACACUGCGCAAACCACUUCACUUAACACCACACAACUCCCAGCUGUACGAUGCGAUGCUCUUGGUUUGGUUGUUACACACAAAUGCACGCAUACAAAACUGCACUUAAAUUGCAAUUGAAGCCUCGCCAUUGCAGCAUCUCUCACAUGCCACUAAUACACCUAUGCACAUAUGGACGUAAAUCCGUACACAGGUAUGUAAGGAUGUGAAAAUGCCCGGAAGCUUUCUACUAUAGAGCCGACCAAAUAUAGGCUAUCUAUGAACUAGUCACAUUUGGACUAACAUGAAAGGUAAAAUGCAGUUCUAUUUUUAACUUGACUUAAAACGAGUAUAUAGUAUAAUAUAUAUAUUAUGUAUACCUGGCGACUGAAGCUUAUGUUAGAGUUUUUAAUUAAUAAAAAACAGAAUUAUAUUAUUUUUGCUUUUCUUUUGCACGACAAAAUAAAUCCUACCACUACAUCGCUCCAGAAAUAUGUUAUGUCAAAUUCGCCGUGGAAAAGCGCUGAUUAUAUACAUAUAUAUAUAUAUGUAUAUAUGUAUGUAUAUGCUUGAGCAUAGAAAUUUUCCUACUGGGUAUUGCGAUAUUUUAUAUUGUAUAUGUAUGUUGCACAUAAAUACAUGUUGGUGAAUGGCAACCUGCACAUUUAUGUUGGCAGCACGCUGUUCUAUCUGAUGACUGUGAUUAUUCUCGCCUGGACCGUUAUGCUGACAUUGCAAAGGGAGGCGUAGUUGGUGGCGCUGGGGCAUAGAUAACGCUGGGGAAUAGGGGAAUACUACCAUCAAAAAGCUCACAUAAAGAAUAUUCAAAUAAAACGAAAGCACAAAAUGCUUAGGAAUGAAAGUGUUACAUAAGUGCUGAAGUGCAACAAAAAUUGCAACCAUUUCGAAUAAUACCCUGCACCCUGCACAUAUGCACGCACAUCCACGGAUAUGAAAAGAGAAGUGAAUAAAAAAUUAUAAUUACGAUGUGUAAAAAACUCGCCUGCACAAUUUAAGAAUCCAGAUCGAGAAGCAAGAGCUUGGCUGACUUUGAAUGCGCUAUAACACAGUAUAUUUACUUAUAUAAUCCUGGAUGCUACAAAUGCAAAUUACUCUUGGCAAUUUUUGUGUGAUGACUUUCAAACGUCUGAAUUCAGAGGCUGUUAAGGAAGCGUUGUUUGUUACAGAUGAAAUAUAAUAUGAAAGAGACGCGUCAGUAACAAUUUCUAAAGCUCGGCAACCCACUACGUCCUUUUGCGACAUCAUUUCAUUUUAACAAAUCCGCAACCUGAGUGUUUAAAAAUUUUUCGAUUCCAACACAACUGUUAUGUUUACAGUCGAUCUCAAAGAUCAGUAAGUUUAACUGAGUUUAACUCUCUUAUUGUUCAUAUUCACCAAGUUUACCUGAACUCGCUAAGUCCUAAUGUUUCCACAUGCGAAUAUGCACUUAUGUGCCACCUAAUGCGAAUGAGUAAGCAUAAGUUCCACAAGUAGUUGGGGUCGAGUAACCGUCGAGUGCACACAUCAGGAUGCAUAAAUAAACAAUUUUUUGUACUCAAAAUCAUAACCUAACAACACUCGCAAGACAGACAGCAAAAAACAAAUAAUUUAUGCCGAGAGGUAGGUACUCAGGUUUAUUUUUUUAAUGAAUGGCGAAAUGACGGGAAUAGCUGUAGUCUUUAUUACAUCGUAGCCAAAAUUGAAAAGGCUCACGCAGCCGUGAAGCCAACCAUCGCCAGAGACUUUUUUUACAAACGUACAAAAAUGUGUUCAUAUGUAUAAUAUUAUAGCUAAUACAGACAUUCAUACAUACAUACGUACAUAUGUAUAUGUUAAAGUAUCGCACUUAGCAUAGCAUCUGCAGAUCUAUCCUGUGUCACAAUUAACACACUCGCACACAGGGACCUCGUAGCACAGCUUACCAGACUUCUUCAAUUGCCAAGUAUUUCUUACUGUCUGUUACCUGCACACUACUUCCUUUUUUAAGCCAAUAUAAAUACUAUAUCACCGUUUAAUCCAACAUCAAUAAUGAUGCGUUUAAUAAAUCUAGGGUCCUCAGCUACGUUCAAGCAACUUAUUUACGACUUCUACUCAACAUCGUUUUUGCAGGUCUAUUAAAAAGUUCAUGAGAGAUUUCGAUAUCCGCUAUCUCUCUGAUGCCAUCACGAGAAUUUUCAAGCACUGUUUCUUUAACAGCGGUGGAUGAACUACUCGCAUGAAAAGUCUUUGGUGACUUCACGAUUUUCAAUAAUUUGUGCCACUCGAGUAAUUUGGUUCGUAAUAAGGUAGACUCCCUAAGACAAUUCUGCAACAAUUUCAAUGAUUUCCGUAACAGUCCGUGUAAAUUUUGGUGUUACAGCCAGUAUCGAGCCCAUCAGGAGUAACAACAACAGUAAUGUUUAACAGCUUUAAAGGAAUAAAAGGAGAAAAGUAGAGCCUGUGCGACUUGGCCUUCGUAUACAUCCAAAUGGGUUAUGUGUAUUAAAAAAAUGUACAUAUGUGCAUUAAAUUGGAUUAUUUUCCUAUGAAAAUAUGCAAAAAUAAUGCAAUAUUAGUAUUUUUAAAUUUUUGGUCUGUGGUGAACCAGCUAGUGUAAAUGCCCAUACAUAUGUAUGUUGGUAUUGCAACAUAAAAUGUUCCUCCCAACGCCGGAUGAUGAAAAUUUGGAUCUGCCCAGUUUAUGAAAAUCUAAUCGUCAUUGUAAAAAACUUAGUAAUUUCACUACUUUGUCAAGAGAUUGAAUAAUCCGUUUACACAUAAAUAAAAACAUAAGAUUUGUCGCCGGAUUGAAAUUUCUACAUAUUUAUUUUAAAUAAUUCGUUUUUGGAAACAUUUGUUUUUGUAUUAUUGAAUACUGUUGGCUUUGUUUUACGAAUGUCUAUUGUAGUGUUGUUACCUUUGUAAGAAAAAAAUAGAGUGAAUUUGUUUAAAUAAUAUAUAUGAUCAAAUAAUAAAACGCAAUUAUUUAAUUCCGAUAUAAAAAAACAAA